CACUGUAAAAAAUCCAACUUGCAAAAUGUUGGCUCGGUUUAAAAUUGUAAGUCAAGUGGACAAAUUUUUGAGCACAGUGUUGAGUUUACUUAUAAAAGCUAUUUAACUGCAUGUUGAAUGCUACUUUGUCCACUGAAUAUAAACAAUUAAGUUGAGAAAACUUAAUAUUUUGAUUUCUAAGUUCGACCGCUUAACUUUUCUGUUAUUGCGCAUGCGCGGUCUGUCGUCCCGGUAACGCGCGGGGUUUCCCCUCUCCAAUCACGCUGAUGAAGGUAAUGGAUUUCAGCGUCUGUUCGAGGUGAGUUUUUAACGUUAUUAUUGAAAUUAAGCUAAAUAAACUGCACACCUAGAUUAUAAAGUGCAAUGAUAUGUUCAUAAAAGAGUAAACUCAUUCUAUAGCACGUGGUUAUAUUUUCAAAAGAGCUCAAUUGUCGAGUUAGCGAUCUUCACAGUUUAGCUGCUAACAUCUGAAGGCUAACGUUAACAAAUAGUGUAUCAAUUAAAAAAAUUAAAUGUAUAGAAGUAGAUUUUGUGUUGUAGACGGUGUUAAUUUUGUUCUUUAAUGUUCGUCAUCUUUGAUUUUACUGUAGGCCUAACGUUACAUGUGCAGUAAAUACGGCCAAGUAAGGAUGUGUUUGGAAUGCAGUGUAAGCUUUGCAAAUUUGCCCACAGUAUACUAGCAGAGAGGUCCUCAAUCACCACUAUCAAGGGUGAUCCUGGAAGCAGCCUUGCUUGUUACUGACUGCAUCUGCACUUUCAAAACCGUAGGUGCCUUAAAAUCUCAUUUGAUAAGAGCACACAAACAGAGUGCUGCAGUUAAAGAGCACUUUAAUUUUUCAUACCUCAGAUAUCCUUGCUCAAAGAAAGGCAACAGCUCUUAAAGGGCUCCCUGUGUUUAUGAGGGAAAAGUCAGAAAACGUCCUGAAGACCUGCCUGGUAAGAAAAUGUGUUGUUAUCAGCAUACACUAUCCAAAACAACUGUUCUAUCAGACAAGAGGCAGGGAAAAGAGUAGAAAGCAGGAGACAAAGUAGAGGACACAGAGCCAGAAGACAGUUACACAAAAAGGAUGAAGAUGGGGAUCUUAAGCAUCAAAGAUGAUGUUUCCAGCAUCCAUUCCAACCCAAAUGUAAGGUGCUUCUGAACUUGAACUAUCCUAAAGAGCUUAAAUAAACUUUUGAAACCACUAAUUAGUUUUUCCUGUUGUUUCAAUAACAGUUGUUCCUUAACAGUACGUCCAAAAAAAAAAAAAAAAAAAGCUUUGAGUUGUAAUGUAAGGCCCAGUGUUGUUUUAGCAGUUGUAAUUCUUGAUUUGUUUUUUUUGUUUGUUUUGUUUUUUGUUUUUUUGUUUUUUGAGUUCAGCCAAAAAUGAAAAUUCUCACCCUCAUGUCUUUCUCAGAGGCUCAGUAAGGCCUCUGUUGCCAGUAAUGUUACUGCACCUCUCAAGAUCCAUAAAGGUACUGAAAACAUAUUUAAAACAAGUCAUGUGACUACAGUGGUUCAACUUUGUUAUAAAGCUUCAAAUACUUUUUGUGCACCAAAAAAAAAAAAUAAAUAAAAAAAAAAAUAACGACUUGUCAACCAUAUGUAGUGAUGGGCGAUAUCAAAACACUUUAUGAAUCGAAUCAGUAGUUCACAUGAUUUCAGCAGUUUAAUAGUUUGAUACUCAAUCCAAAUCACUAAUUCGAAACAAAAGAUUUGUAAAGCUCUGAAGCUUCAUGAAGCAGUGUUUUGAAAUCUUGAGAUGUGCAGUAACAUUGCUGGCAAUGCAGGCCUCACCGAGCCAUCGGAUUUCAUCAAAAAUAUCUUAAUUUGUGUUCCGAAAAUGAACGACAUGAGGGUGAGUAAUAAAUUCCUUUUUUUUUUUUUUUUUUUGGCCUUUACAACUUAAAAGUCUUGUUUAUUGCUCUUUAUAGCACUUUAAGAACAAUUGUUUUGCUCCAGCACUUCAAAAGAAGUGUGUUGUUGUAUUAUGCCAGCACUUUGAAAAGCAUUACGAGAUUAGAGGAUUUUUUUUUUUUUUUGCCUCUAAGUUUUUUGGGUUUUUUUUGUAAUUCAUCUUGAUCUUGUAGAACUUCAUGCUGACAGAAAAUGUGCCGUUUUGCAAGCGUCAAUAAAUAUGUUCUAUAAUGUUGAGUAUUGUGUUGUAUUUGUGUUGUUUUUACUGUAUAGUAUGUACUCCAUGCAUUUGGAUGCCCAGUGGGAGGUCUAUACAAGUUUCUGUGUGGGAUAAUUGGAGAAAGUUGAGUUAACUUUAAAAAAUAAAAAGUUGA